GUCCACGCCCUAAACGAUGUCAACUGGUUGUUGGGUGCAUUAGUACUCAGUAACGAAGCUAACGCGUGAAGUUGACCGCCUGGGGAGUACGGCCGCAAGGUUGAAACUCAAAAGGAAUUGACGGGGACCCGCACAAGCGGUGGAUGAUGUGGUUUAAUUCGAUGCAACGCGAAAAAACCUUACCCACCUUUGACAUGUACGGAAGUCGCUAGAGAUAGCUUCGUGCUCGAAAGAGAGCCGUAAACACAGGUGCUGCAUGGCUGUCGU
rnacentral:rRNA from 1 species